rnacentral:rRNA from 1 species
GUUGUAUGGUUAAGUGACUAAGCGUACAUGGUGGAUGCCUUGGCAGUCAGAGGCGAUGAAGGACGUACUAACCUGCGAUAAGCUGUGAGAAGUCGGUAAGAGACGCUAUUACUCACAGAUUUCCGAAUGGGGAAACCCACCCGAGAUAACUCGGGUAUCUGUUACUGAAUACAUAGGUAACAGAGGCGAACCGGGAGAACUGAAACAUCUAAGUACCCCGAGGAAAAGAAAUCAACCGAGAUUCCCUCAGUAGCGGCGAGCGAACGGGGAUUAGCCCUUAAGCAUCUUGGAAGUUAGUGGAACGGUCCUGGAAAGGCCGGCGAUACAGGGUGAUAGCCCCGUACACGAAAACAACCUUGAUGUGAAAUCGAGUAGGGCGGGACACGUGACAUCCUGUCUGAAUAUGGGGGGACCAUCCUCCAAGGCUAAAUACUCCUGACUGACCGAUAGUGAACCAGUACCGUGAGGGAAAGGCGAAAAGAACCCCUGUGAGGGGAGUGAAAUAGAACCUGAAACCGUGUACGUACAAGCAGUGGGAGCCCUUCGGGGUGACUGCGUACCUUUUGUAUAAUGGGUCAGCGACUUACAUUUUGUAGCGAGGUUAACCGUAUAGGGGAGCCGUAGGGAAACCGAGUCUUAACUGGGCGUCUAGUUGCAAGGUGUAGACCCGAAACCGGGUGAUCUAGCCAUGGGCAGGUUGAAGGUUGAGUAACAUCAACUGGAGGACCGAACCCACUAACGUUGCAAAGUUAGGGGAUGACCUGUGGCUGGGGGUGAAAGGCCAAUCAAACUCGGAGAUAGCUGGUUCUCCCCGAAAGCUAUUUAGGUAGCGCCUCGGACGAAUACUACUGGGGGUAGAGCACUGUUUGGGCUAGGGGGUCAUCCCGACUUACCAACCCCAUGCAAACUCCGAAUACCAGUAAGUAAUAUCCGGGAGACACACGGCGGGUGCUAACGUCCGUCGUGAAGAGGGAAACAACCCAGACCGCCGGCUAAGGUCCCAAAGUUCUGGUUAAGUGGGAAACGAUGUGGGAAGGCUCAGACAGCUAGGAUGUUGGCUUAGAAGCAGCCAUCAUUUAAAGAAAGCGUAAUAGCUCACUAGUCGAGUCGGCCUGCGCGGAAGAUGUAACGGGGCUCAAACCAGGCACCGAAGCCGCGGAUUCACACUUAUGUGUGAGUGGUAGGGGAGCGUUCUGUAAGUCUGCGAAGGUGUAUCGAGAGGUAUGCUGGAGAUAUCAGAAGUGCGAAUGCUGACGUAAGUAACGAUAAAGGGGGUGAAAAGCCUCCUCGCCGGAAGACCAAGGGUUCCUGUCCAACGUUAAUCGGGGCAGGGUGAGUCGACCCCUAAGGUGAGGCCGAAAGGCGUAAUCGAUGGGAAGCAGGUUAAUAUUCCUGCACGACUUGUAAUUGCGAUGGGGGGACGGAGAAGGCUAGGUGGGCCAGGCGACGGUUGUCCUGGUGAAAGUGCGUAGGUGGUGUUUGUAGGCAAAUCCGCAGACACAACGCUGAGACACGAGACGAACNNNNNNNNNNNNNNNNNNNNNNNNNNNNNNNNNNNNNNNNNNNNNNNNNNNNNNNNNNNNNNNNNNNNNNNNNNNNNNNNNNNNNNNNNNNNNNNNNNNNGGAAGCCAUUGAUGCCCUGCUUCCAGGAAAAGCCUCUAAGCUUCAGAUUACAAGUCAUCGUACCCCAAACCGACACAGGUGGUCGGGUAGAGAAUACCAAGGCGCUUGAGAGAACUCGGGUGAAGGAACUAGGCAAAAUAGAACCGUAACUUCGGGAGAAGGUUCGCUCUUGAUGGUGAAGUCCCUUGCGGAUGGAGCUGUCGGGAGUCGCAGUGACCAGAUGGCUGGGACUGUUUAUCAAAAACACAGCACUCUGCAAACACGAAAGUGGACGUAUAGGGUGUGACACCUGCCCGGUGCCGGAAGGUUAAUUGAUGGGGUUAGCGCAAGCGAAGCUCUUGAUCGAAGCCCCGGUAAACGGCGGCCGUAACUAUAACGGUCCUAAGGUAGCGAAAUUCCUUGUCGGGUAAGUUCCGACCUGCACGAAUGGUGUAACCAUGGCCAUGCUGUCUCCACCCGAGACUCAGUGAAAUCGAAUUCGCCGUGAAGAUGCGGUGUACCCGCGGCUAGACGGAAAGACCCCGUGAACCUUUACUACAGCUUGGCACUGAACAUUGAACCUACAUGUGUAGGAUAGGUGGGAGGCUUUGAAGGCGUGACGCCAGUUGCGCUGGAGCCGUCCUUGAAAUACCACCCUUGUAUGUUUGAUGUUCUAACGCAGGGCCCUGAAUCGGGCUCGCGGACAGUGCCUGGUGGGUAGUUUGACUGGGGCGGUCUCCUCCCAAAGAGUAACGGAGGAGCACGAAGGUUGGCUAAUCCUGGUCGGACAUCAGGAGGUUAGUGCAAUGGCAUAAGCCAGCUUAACUGCGAGACGGACAGGUCGAGCAGGUACGAAAGUAGGUCAUAGUGAUCCGGUGGUUCUGAAUGGAAGGGCCAUCGCUCAACGGAUAAAAGGUACUCCGGGGAUAACAGGCUGAUACCGCCCAAGAGUUCAUAUCGACGGCGGUGUUUGGCACCUCGAUGUCGGCUCAUCACAUCCUGGGGCUGAAGUCGGUCCCAAGGGUAUGGCUGUUCGCCAUUUAAAGUGGUACGCGAGCUGGGUUCAGAACGUCGUGAGACAGUUCGGUCCCUAUCUGCCGUGGGCGUUGGAUGAUUGAAGGGAGUUGCUCCUAGUACGAGAGGACCGGAGUGAACGAACCUCUGGUGUUCGGGUUGUCACGCCAGUGGCACUGCCCGGUAGCUAAGUUCGGAAUCGAUAACCGCUGAAAGCAUCUAAGCGGGAAGCGAGCCCUGAGAUGAGUCAUCCCUGACCCCUUGAGGGUCCUAAAGGGCCGUUGGAGACCACAACGUUGAUAGGUGGGGUGUGUAAGCGCGGCGACGUGUUGAGCUAACCCAUACUAAUUACCCGUGAGGCUUAACCAUACAACACCCAAGAAGUGUUCU